rnacentral:rRNA from 1 species
GAUGAACGCUGGCGGCGUGCUUAACACAUGCAAGUCGAACGGGAAACCUUUUAUUGAAGCUUCGGCAGAUUUAGCUGGUUUCUAGUGGCGGACGGGUGAGUAACGCGUGGGUAACCUGCCUUAUACAGGGGGAUAACAACCAGAAAUGGUUGCUAAUACCGCAUAAGCGCACAGGACCGCAUGGUCCGGUGUGAACAACUCCGGUGGUAUAAGAUGGACCCGCGUUGGAUUAGCUAGUUGGCAGGGUAACGGCCUACCAAGGCGACGAUCCAUAGCCGGCCUGAGAGGGUGAACGGCCACAUUGGGACUGAGACACGGCCCAGACUCCUACGGGAGGCAGCAGUGGGGAAUAUUGCACAAUGGGGGAAACCCUGAUGCAGCGACGCCGCGUGAAGGAAGAAGUAUCUCGGUAUGUAAACUUCUAUCAGCAGGGAAGAUAGUGACGGUACCUGACGAAGAAGCCCCGGCUAACUACGUG